rnacentral:rRNA from 1 species
AAUCAACGCUGGCGGCGUGCCUCAGACAUGCAAGUCGAACGAUUAAAGCUCUCUUCGGAGAGUGUAUAGAGUGGCGCACGGGUGAGUAACACGUAAGUAAUCUACCCUCGAGUGGGGAAUAACAACCGGAAACGGUUGCUAAUACCGCAUAAUGCAGCGGCACCGCAAGGUGACAGUUGUUAAAGAUUUAUCGCUUGAGGAGGAGCUUGCGGCAGAUUAGCUAGUUGGUAGGUAACGGCUUACCAAGGCUACGAUCUGUAACCGGUCUAAGAGGACGGUCGGUCACACUGACACUGAAUAACGGGUCAGACUCCUACGGGAGGCAGCAGUCGGGAAUUUUGGGCAAUGGGCGAAAGCCUGACCCAGCAACGCCGCGUGAAGGAUGAAGUAUUUCGGUAUGUAAACUUCGAAAGAAUAAGGAAGAAUUAAUGACGGUACUAUUAUAAGGUCCGGCUAACUACGUGCCAGCAGCCGCGGUAAU